rnacentral:lncRNA from 1 species
ACUGAAUAUGUAAAAUUUCCAAACCUGACAUAUGUUUACAAGUUUUUAAUUAUAAAAAUCAUCGUGUCACAUAUGAAUAAUAUAGUAUGUUCGUCCCCACGAAGCCAGUUUACUUCCCUUUUGCAGACUCGAUAAAUAUACUGUACGACUCGAUAAAUGACGACUCGAUAAAUACACGAUUGGCUAAUAUCCUGUAUCCAAGAUAUGCAUUUCUCUUGCCCUCUCUCCCCCGACGACGUUUUUAGUUAAACAUGCGGGCUAUAUACCCGUGAAUUGUUAGGCAUGCGGGUAAUCUGUGAAUGGACGCGGGAUGUGU